rnacentral:rRNA from 1 species
UACGUAAGGGGCUAGCGUUGCUCGGAAUCACUGGGUGUAAAGGGCGUGUAGGCGGAUAUACAAGUCGAAUGUAAAAUCCCACAGCUCAACUGUGGAUCUGCGUUCGAAACUGUAUAUCUUGAGUCUGGUGGAGGGUGGUGGAAUUCCCGGUGUAGCGGUGAAAUGCGUAGAUAUCGGGAAGAACACCGAAGGCGAAGGCAGUCACCUAUGCCAAGACUGACGCUGAGGAGCGAAAGUAUGGGGAUCAAACAGG